rnacentral:rRNA from 1 species
GUGGGGAAUAUUGGACAAUGGGCGAAAGCCUGAUCCAGCCAUGCCGCGUGUGUGAAGAAGGUCUUCGGAUUGUAAAGCACUUUAAGUUGGGAGGAAGGGCAGUAAGUUAAUACCUUGCUGUUUUGACGUUACCGACAGAAUAAGCACCGGCUAACUUCGUGCCAGCAGCCGCGGUAAUACGAAGGGUGCAAGCGUUAAUCGGAAUUACUGGGCGUAAAGCGCGCGUAGGUGGUUUUGUAAGUUGGAGGUGAAAUCCCCGGGCUCAACCUGGGAACUGCCUCCAGAACUGCAUGACUAUGGUACAGUAGAGGGUAGUGGAAUUUCCUGCGUAGCGGUGAAAUGCGUAGAUAUAGGAAGGAACACCAGUGGCGAAGGCGACUACCUGGACUGAUACUGACACUGAGGUGCGAAAGCGUGGGGAGCAAACAGGAUUAGAUACCCCUGUAGUCC